GCGCGGGGGCAACCCUGGCGGCGAGCGGCGAACGGGUGAGUAACACAUCGGAACGUACCCUGUCGUGGGGGAUAACGAAUCGAAAGAUUCGCUAAUACCGCAUACGACCUGAGGGUGAAAGCGGGGGAUCGCAAGACCACGCGCGAGAGGAGCGGCCGAUGUCGGAUUAGCUAGUUGGUGAGGUAAAGGCUCACCAAGGCGACGAUCCGUAGCGGGUCUGAGAGGACGGCCCGCCACACUGGGACUGAGACACGGCCCAGACUCCUACGGGAGGCAGCAGUGGGGAAUUUUGGACAAUGGGGGCAACCCUGAUCCAGCCAUUCCGCGUGAGUGAAGAAGGCCUUCGGGUUGUAAAGCUCUUUCGGCAGGAACGAAACGGUGGAGGCUAAUAUCCUUCAUCAAUGACGGUACCUGAAGAAGAAGCACCGGCUAACUACGUGCCAGCAGCCGCGGUAAUACGUAGGGUGCGAGCGUUAAUCGGAAUUACUGGGCGUAAAGCGUGCGCAGGCGGUUUUGUAAGACAGAUGUGAAAUCCCCGGGCUUAACCUGGGAACUGCGUUUGUGACUGCAAGACUUGAGUGCGGCAGAGGGGGGUGGAAUUCCACGUGUAGCAGUGAAAUGCGUAGAGAUGUGGAGGAACACCGAUGGCGAAGGCAGCCCCCUGGGUCGACACUGACGCUCAUGCACGAAAGCGUGGGUAGCAAACAGGAUUAGAUACCCUGGUAGUCCA
rnacentral:rRNA from 1 species